AUGGGCGGCGAGUGGCCUAUAUAUAGUGUGGCCUCCACCCCUCUCAUUUCAGAAUCUACUAUUGUAUUCUCCAAGUUGAAGUAAUAGAAGAGCUUUCUUCUUAUCUCUCUCUUGUACUUAGUCUAGGGCGAGUGAGGUCCUAACUUAGCAAGUAGAGAGGCAGGCUUGCUCACUUCGCGAAGGAAGGCGAGCGCCGCACGGGCUUUUGCGAGCAAAUUCGUUAAGUCCGUGACAGUUGGUAUCAGAGCCGGUUCGAGUAGGAGCCAUGUCGUCAUCAGAGGCCGCUGCUGGCGACGUUGGGGGUGAUGGCCCCAAGCAACCCUCCAAGCGGGGCAAGGGCAAGGACACGCGAAUCACGAAGGAUUCCGCGUCGGUCGAGGACCGCCUUGCGCUGUUGGAGGACAUUCUAUCGAAGGUGGGAGAAAGGUACACCGAGAUGGCCGAUACCUUUAACGCCUUCAAUGAAGAUGUUCGCAGUAUGGAGGAGAGUGUCGCCACUGCCAUGGCGACCUUUCGAGGCGAGCUUGAGAAGCUCCAAGACAACAUCACCCGUCGUGACGACGAACGGAAGAACUUGAUCGAGGAGCUAGUCACUCGAGUCGACGAGGUCGAGGACCUCAAGACGAGAGUGACUAUCCUUGAGAAGGCGGUGGCUCGAGGCGGUGAGACGCAGAAGGAGUACACCCCAAAGGUCCGCGUCCCUGAACCCCAAUGCUUCAAGGGAACGCGCGACGAGAAGGAGAUAGACAACUUCCUUUGGCACAUGGAGCGCUAUCUCAAGGCGCUGCGGAUCGAGGACGAGGAGGACAAGGUCCAGACCGCUUCCAUGUACCUCACCGACGACGCGAUGCUGUGGUGGCGUCGGCGUUCUGCAGAAGCCGAGAAGGGCCAAUGCAAACUGGAUACUUGGGAGGACUUCGUGCGCGAACUCAAGGCACAGUUCUACCCCGAGCACGUCGAAUACUUGGCGCGGAGGCAACUUCGACGGCUCAAGCACACAGGAUCCCUCAAGGAGUAUGUCAAGGAGUACUCCAAACUGAUGCUUGCCAUCACCAGCAUGGCCGAGGAGGAUCGGCUGUUCUUCUUCCUCGACGGUCUCCAACCGUGGGCUAACAAGGAGCUCGUGGCGAGAGACGUCAAGGACGUGAGCUCCGCUAUCGCUCAAGCGGAGAAGCUGCUGGAGUAUGACAAGCCAGACUUCGCUCGUGGCAAACCACCUAAGGCGGGCAAGGCCAAGGGUGGGGGAGACCGCCGCGAGCAGCGUGAUCACAAGGGCCAAGAGCGAAGAGGCCCUCCGCAGAAGAAGAAGAUCUCUUGCUAUGUCUGCGGGGGUGAUCACUGGGCGAGAGAUUGCCCAAAGAAGAAGACCGUCAACGCCAUCCAAGCUGAGGAGAGCGAGGAACAAGCGGAGACGAAGAUGGGCGCGCUACGACUCGUCAGCGCGAUCCAGGGGCAGGCGAGCAGCAAACCGCUCAAGAAGGAGCUGCUGUUCGUGGACGUGACCCUCAACGGGAGGGCCACUCGAGCGCUCGUGGACACUGGGGCGACCCACAACUUCAUCGCCGAGUCUGAGGCCAAACGGCUGGGCCUCACACUCGAGAAGGACACGAGCAAGAUCAAGGCUGUCAACUCGGUGGCACAGCCUGUCGUGGGAGUAGCCAAAGGGGUGACGAUCGCUGUAGGACCCUGGUCGGGUACAGCGAACUUCACCGCCGCGACCAUCGACGACUUCAAAGUCAUUCUCGGCAUCGACUUUCUAGCUUCAUCGAAAGCGGUCCCGAUGCCGCAUCUCGGGGCCUUGAGCAUCAUGGAGGAGGCAGCCCCGUGCAUGGUCUUGGCUAGCCGCAGCGAGCCAGCGGCAACCCACACCCUCUCCGCUCUGCAACUGCGGAAGGGGGUAAAGCGCGGAGAGAUCACUUAUCUUGCGGCCAUCCGCGAGGUGAGCGACGAGGACCUCGAGGAGGAGGACCAUCCAGCGGUGAUCGAUGCAGUCCUGGGGGAGUUCAAGGACGUCAUGCCCCAGGAGUUGCCCAAGAGACUUCCACCAAGGCGGGAGGUGGACCAUGCGAUCGAGCUCGAGCCAGGAGCAAAGCCACCAGCAAAGGCACCAUACCGCAUGGCCCCGCCAGAGCUCGAGGAGUUGCAGCGUCAACUGAAGGACCUCCUCGAUGCGGGCUUCAUCAGGCCGUCGAAGGCACCCUACGGAGCACCAGUCUUGUUCCAAAGGAAGAGCGACGGAAGCCUGCGGCUCUGUAUUGACUACAGAGCGCUCAACAAGGUGACGGUAAAGAACAAGUACCCUAUUCCUCUUGUUGCUGACUUGUUUGACCAGCUUGGCGGAGCGAAGUUCUUCACCAAAUUGGACCUUCGCUCGGGGUACUACCAAGUCAGGAUCGCGGAGGGCGAUGAGGAGAAAACGGCAUGUGUGACGAGGUAUGGAGCCUACGAGUUCCUCGUCAUGCCAUUCGGCCUGACGAAUGCGCCGGCGACCUUCUGCACCCUGAUGAACAAGCUAUUCCACCCCUACCUCGAUCGCUUCGUGGUAGUGUACCUCGACGACAUCGUCGUGUACAGCAACACUCUGGAGGAGCACGUCGAGCAUCUGCGGACGAUCUUCCAAGUGCUGCGGGAGAACCAACUCUAUGUCAAAAGGGAGAAGUGCUCCUUUGCGAAGGAGGAGGUGCACUUCCUUGGCCACUGGAUCGGCCGAGGACAACUCCACAUGGACCAGCAGAAAGUGCGGGCGAUCUGCGAGUGGGAAGCGCCCACGACGGUGUCCGAGCUGCGAUCCUUUCUCGGACUCGUCAACUACUAUCGCCGCUUCAUCGCGGGCUACUCUGCUCGAGCGGCCCCUUUGACGGAUCUGCUGAAGAAGACCCAGUCAUGGGACUGGACCCCUCGAUGCGCGGAGGCAUUCGAGGACUUAAAACGGGCGGUGACGGAGGAUCCGGUGUUGCGGCUUCCCGACUGCAGCCGUCCAUUCGAGGUACAUACUGACGCCUCGGACUUUGCCAUUGGUGGUGUUCUCGUGCAGGACGGACACCCCAUCGCCUAUGAGAGCCGCAAGCUCAACGACACCGAGCGGCGGUACACGGUGCAGGAGAAGGAGAUGACCGCUGUGGUGCACUGCCUCAGGACCUGGCGGCACUAUCUCCUUGGAAGCAAGUUCGUGGUGCGGACGGACAAUGUCGCGACGAGCUACUUCCUUACUCAGAAGAAGCUGUCACCCAAGCAGGCGAGGUGGCAGGACUUCCUGGCGGAGUUCGACAUGGAGCUCUCGUACAAACCCGGGAAGGAGAACCAAGUGGCUGACGCACUCAGCCGCAAGGCGGAACUGGCAGCGGUGUGCCAGAUCCAAGGCGCGAUCAGGGAGCGAAUCCGCGAAGGGACUUGCGAAGACCCUGUGGCCCAAGGACUCGUGCGACUCGUCAAGGAGGGCAAGGCGCAGCGGUUCUGGCUUAGCGAUGGGCUGCUCCUGACCAAGGGGCGUCGCGUCUAUGUGCCCAGGUGGGGCAAUCUUCGUCGCGAGCUCAUGAAGGAGUGUCAUGACUCCAAUUGGGCCGGACAUCCAGGACAGAAGCGGACGAUGGCGCUGCUCGAGGCCGCCUACUAUUGGCCUCGCAUGCACGACGACGUGGAGGCGUACGUGCGGACUUGCCUUGUGUGCCAGCAAGACAAGGUGGAGCGCCAGAAGCCUGGGGGCCUCCUCGAGCCCCUGCCUACACCGACGCGUCCGUGGGAGAGCAUUUCCAUGGACUUCAUCUCCGCCUUGCCCAAGGUGGGGACGUUGGGGUCCAUCCUCGUGGUGGUGGACCGAUUCUCCAAGUACGGGACUUUCAUCGCGGCACCAGCGGAUUGCACGGCGGAAGAAGCGGCGCGGCUCUUCGUCAGCAAUGUGGUGAAGCUUUGGGGCAUCCCCGAAAGCAUUGUGAGUGACCGAGACCCUAGGUUUACGGGCAAGUUCUGGACAGAGGUGUUCCGGAUCUUGGGGUCGGAGUUGCUCUUUUCCACCAGUUUUCACCCACAGACGGACGGCCAGACGGAGCGGGUGAAUGCCUUACUGGAGGAGUACCUGCGGCACUAUGUCAGUGCCAACCAGAAGGAUUGGGUGCAUCAUCUGGAUGUGGCCCAGUUCUCCUACAACUUGCGGCGGAGCGAGUCAACCAACCUCAGCCCGUUCGAGCUGGCAACGGGGAGGCAACCACUCACUCCGCAUUCUGCUGCUGCGGGCGAGCAGGGCCGCAGCCCAAUGGCUCUCCAAUUCACUUCUCAUUUGCAGGAGAAGGGGGACAUUGCGAGAGCCUAUCUCGAGAAGGCGGCCCGCCGAAUGAAAAAGUGGGCCGAUGCAAAGCGGCGACCCUUGGAGUUUGCCGAGGGAGAUCGAGUGUUGAUCAAGCUGCAACCUCAACAGUUCAAGGCUUUUCGCAAAGUGCACCGUGGGCUUUUGCGAAAGUACGAGGGGCCUUUCACUGUCAUCAAGCGAGCGGGCAAGGCAGCCUACAAACUGCAACUCCCCGCCAACCUGAAGAUUCAUCCUGUCUUUCAUGCUAGUUGCCUGCGGCCCUACCAUGAAGACGCUGAGGACCCGAGCCGGGGCGUGUCGCAGCGCGCUCCCGCCACUAUGACCACUGCAAUCGACAAGGAGGUCGAAGCCUUGCUGGACACUCGCACCAUUCGGCGUCGCGGAGUCCCGAGGAGCGUCGAGUACCUUGUCAAGUGGAAGAAUCUCCCGCAUGGCGAGGCAAGCUGGGAGAAGGCUGACACUCUCUGGAAGUAUCAGAAGCUGAUCGAUGACUUCCAACACCAGCGCGCGACGAGGGCGUCUGCGCAAUAGGUGGGGGAGGUUGUCACGACACAAAGAUUUUCUCCGCGAUUUCGCUUUGCAAUCACCCGAACUCCAAAGCGGACAUCUGACGGAGGUUUUGGCUUGGAACCUUCUGGAAGCUUCUACGUGGAUCUCGAGGCUGAUUGGCGCGGAUGCCGAGGAGUCAAGAGUCCCUUGGGGUUUCUAGGUAGCCAUUAAUGUACUUAGAGUUUCUAUGCAUAUUUAUUAUGACUCUUGGGAGACCGUAGCGUACUUAUUGGCCUCCCCUUUUGGCUUGUAGUUUCAUGCCACUUGGCAUCUUAUCAUUUGCUUUAUGGGCGGCGAGUGGCCUAUAUAUAGUGUGGCCUCCACCCCUCUCAUUUCAGAAUCUACUAUUGUAUUCUCCAAGUUGAAGUAAUAGAAGAGCUUUCUUCUUAUCUCUCUCUUGUACUUAGUCUAGGGCGAGUGAGGUCCUAACUUAGCAAGUAGAGAGGCAGGCUUGCUCACUUCGCGAAGGAAGGCGAGCGCCGCACGGGCUUUUGCGAGCAAAUUCGUUAAGUCCGUGACAG
rnacentral:lncRNA from 1 species